rnacentral:rRNA from 1 species
UACGAAGGGGGCUAGCGUUGUUCGGAAUCACUGGGCGUAAAGGGCGCGUAGGCGGCUUUAUAAGUCGGGGGUGAAAGCCUGUGGCUCAACCACAGAAUUGCCUUCGAUACUGUAGAGCUUGAGACCGGAAGAGGUAAGUGGAACUGCGAGUGUAGAGGUGAAAUUCGUAGAUAUUCGCAAGAACACCAGUGGCGAAGGCGGCUUACUGGUCCUUAACUGACGCUGAGGCGCGAAAGCCAGGGUAGCGAACGGG